GACGAACGCUGGCGGCGUGCUUAACACAUGCAAGUCGAACGGUAAGGCUCCAGCUUGCUGGGGUACACGAGUGGCGAACGGGUGAGUAACACGUGGGUGACCUGCCCUGCACUUCGGGAUAAGCCUGGGAAACUGGGUCUAAUACCGGAUAGGACCGCACCGUGAGGGUGUGGUGGAAGGUUUUUUCGGUGUGGGAUGGGCCCGCGGCCUAUCAGCUUGUUGGUGGGGUAAUGGCCUACCAAGGCGGCGACGGGUAGCCGGCCUGAGAGGGUGGACGGCCACAUUGGGACUGAGACACGGCCCAGACUCCUACGGGAGGCAGCAGUGGGGAAUAUUGCACAAUGGGCGGAAGCCUGAUGCAGCGACGCCGCGUGGGGGAUGACGGCCUUCGGGUUGUAAACUCCUUUCACCAUCGACGAAGGGUUUCUGACGGUAGAUGGAGAAGAAGCACCGGCUAACUACGUGCCAGCAGCCGCGGUAAUACGUAGGGUGCGAGCGUUGUCCGGAAUUACUGGGCGUAAAGAGCUCGUAGGUGGUUUGUCGCGUCGUCUGUGAAAUUCCGGGGCUUAACUCCGGGCGUGCAGGCGAUACGGGCAUAACUUGAGUACUGUAGGGGAGACUGGAAUUCCUGGUGUAGCGGUGAAAUGCGCAGAUAUCAGGAGGAACACCGGUGGCGAAGGCGGGUCUCUGGGCAGUAACUGACGCUGAGGAGCGAAAGCAUGGGGAGCGAACAGGAUUAGAUACCCUGGUAGUCCAUGCCGUAAACGGUGGGCGCUAGGUGUGGGUUUCCUUCCACGGGAUCCGUGCCGUAGCUAACGCAUUAAGCGCCCCGCCUGGGGAGUACGGCCGCAAGGCUAAAACUCAAAGGAAUUGACGGGGGCCCGCACAAGCGGCGGAGCAUGUGGAUUAAUUCGAUGCAACGCGAAGAACCUUACCUGGGCUUGACAUAUACAGGAUCGCGCCAGAGAUGGUGUUUCCCUUGUGGCUUGUAUACAGGUGGUGCAUGGUUGUCGUCAGCUCGUGUCGUGAGAUGUUGGGUUAAGUCCCGCAACGAGCGCAACCCUUGUCUUAUGUUGCCAGCACGUUGUGGUGGGGACUCGUAAGAAACUGCCGGGGUUAACUCGGAGGAAGGUGGGGAUGACGUCAAAUCAUCAUGCCCCUUAUGUCCAGGGCUUCACACAUGCUACAAUGGUCGGUACAGUGGGUUGCCAGUCCCUGAGGGCGGGCUAAUUCCGCAAAGCCGGUCUCAUUUCGGAUCGGGGUCUUGCACUCGACCCCCUGAAGUCGGAGUCGCUAGUAAUUCCAAAUCAGCAACGCUGCGGUGAAUACGUUCUCCGGCCU
rnacentral:rRNA from 1 species